UACAGAGGGUGCAAGCGUUGUUCGGAAUUACUGGGCGUAAAGGGCGCGUAGGCGGCUUCGCUAGUCGGGCGUGAAAUGCCUGGGCUUAACCCGGGAAUUGCGUUCGAUACUUCGAGGCUAGAGUGUGGGAGAGGUUGGUGGAAUUCCCAGUGUAGAGGUGAAAUUCGUAGAUAUUCGGAAGAACACCAGUGGCGAAGGCGACUCACUGGACACGUAUUGACGCUGAGGUGCGAAAGCUAGGGGAGCAAACAGG
rnacentral:rRNA from 1 species